UACGAAGGGGGCUAGCGUUGCUCGGAAUCACUGGGCGUAAAGCGCACGUAGGCGGCUUUUUAAGUCAGGGGUGAAAUCCUGGAGCUCAACUCCAGAACUGCCUUUGAUACUGAGAAGCUUGAGUCCGGGAGAGGUGAGUGGAACUGCGGGUGUAGAGGUGAAAUUCGUAGAUAUUAGGAAGAACACCGGUGGCGAAGGCGGCUCACUGGUCCGGUACUGACACUGAGGUGCGAAAGCGUGGGGAGCAAACAGG
rnacentral:rRNA from 1 species